CGUCUCUCAUCUUCAUUUCCGGUAAGUGACCCUUCCACCUAAGGAAUCGAAUAAAGAUAAAGCUUGUUGUGUUAGGAUGACAAAGAUAACUGAACGGAACAGAAAAGUAGAAAGACAGCGCAGGAGGACCGGCAGGGACCAGAUGACGUGAAGUCUGCCUAUUUUUACGUCGUUCUUCUAGAAUUUGUUUGAAGGGAUCCGAGAUGAGAUAUGUGGAGUCCACCCAUAAUAACUAAAUGAUCUGGCCACGGUACCCAAUCUCAACUUCAGAAUAACUGAUGAUAUUGGCAGAAAAGGAAUUUUUAUAUCUGACAUCUUCAAUAUUUAUCUUCUUUGAUAGACUAAAGGAAGCUGUUAUACAGAAGAACUAUAACCAUGUUUAUAUAAAUCGGUGAUGAAUUAUAGCGAAACAUUUCCUCUCUAUGAGAUUGUCAUCAACAUUUCUCUAAUAUAUGUGGCAGAUUAAUUUCAUUUGAAAUAAGCUUGGAUUAAAUUACAAAGACGCUUUCUGCACCUUCCGAUAUCAGCAAAGAUCACAGUUGAUAGAAAUAUAACAAAACAAACAGCAAUACGAAUAGGUUAUAAAAUGAGAAAUAAGAAAAAUAUUCCUACGUAUAUACAAAGUAGUGAGAGUCAAUAAUAAUGGAAAACUUAAUUAUAUGAGAAAGUCUGAGAGUUGAUUAUCUUUUUCUUAAUGCCUUUAGCAUUUAAACCAGCCAUACCCUGCCUAUAUAUUCUGACUAUUUUACAAUCAAUCCAACCAGAUUUGGCCUCUCAUACCUACCCUGCAAUGCCACUAUAAAAAGAUCACAUCGUUGAAGUUUCAAACCUAUGAGAUAAUACAAGUUUAAUUCAAAACAACGUGAAUGAAAAAGAAUUACAAAUCACAGAGUAAUUUGAAUACCAAAAGGUUUAAAAGAUGCCGAAAGAGUUAGGAAAAUCACCAUACCAAUGUGAUAUCUGUCAAAAUUCAUUCUCCCAAAAACAUCACCUCACAACUCACAAAUUUAUUCAUACAGGAGGAAAAACCAUGCCACUGUGAUAUCUGUGGUAAAACAUUUCAUCGGAAUGUGCACUUGAUUGACCACAAAUGCAUUCAUACAGGAGAAAAACACAAAUAUAUUCAUUCAGGAGAAAAACCAAUUCAGUGUGAUAUCUGUGGUAAAUCAUUCUACCAUACAAGUAGCUUAACUGUACAUAAAC
rnacentral:lncRNA from 1 species